CAGCAGCCACGGUAAUACGGAGGGUGCAAGCGUUAAUCGGAAUUACUGGGCGUAAAGCGCACGCAGGCGGUCUGACAAGUCAGAUGUGAAAUCCCCGGGCUUAACCUGGGAACUGCAUUUGAAACUGUCAGGCUGGAGUCUUGUAGAGGGGGGUAGAAUUCCAGGUGUAGCGGUGAAAUGCGUAGAGAUCUGGAGGAAUACCGGUGGCGAAGGCGGCCCCCUGGACAAAGACUGACGCUCAGGUGCGAAAGCGUGGGGAGCAAACAGGAUUAGAUACCCCCGUUCCCUGUCUCUUAUACAC
rnacentral:rRNA from 1 species